CGCUCUCUUCUUCUCCAAAUUGAAGAAUUUUCUUCCACAAAGCGAUGAAUCUUCUUCUACAAAGCGACGCUCAUCUUCUACUCCGAACCAAUUCUCAUUUCUACUGCAAAUCGACGCUCAAACGCUGCUUCUCUGCCAAAAUCGACGACUCCACAACUUCCUCUUCUACUAUCGACGACAUCUCGAGCUGAUUCAAGUCGAUUAGCCACAUAUUCGAAAUGGUUGACACACGAAAUUCGUUGACCGGUAGUCGUCGAUUAACCACAUAUUCAACAUCUCUAUCCGUCGAUUUCAGCAUCUCUAUCUGCAAACUUCAACAUCUCCAUCAGCCGACGUCCACAUCUCCACGCGAUUUGAAAUAGUUGACAUCAGAAAUUCAUCAAUGGAAGUUCAUCAAUCAAUGGAUAACAAGUUCAAUUAGGGGUGAAAUAUAAUCGUUUGCUGGUGGCUAAUUCGCAGCGGGUCGACAAAGAUAAUAUCGUGUGAAGUUCUUUUGCUGGUCGGCUUGAAGUACUUUUGAUAUUUGAGAGAUUACUCCAUCCUCUGGCCGAACCUCUGAUUCAGGUGAAGAAAACGCUGGGGAAAAAUCCUUUAACUCAUAGCUAGGUGAGAAAUCAAAUUGGAGGAGCGAGGUGAAGAGUUUCAGGAGAUGUAGUUGAGGCAUGGUGACAUGCUGAUGAGGACAUUUUGGCAUUCCAUCCCCACGCCUAAUAUAUGGGUGGUGCCUAAAAUCACUGCCUAGACCAUUGAGAUGUGUUGGUGUCAAUUUUGGAUGAUUUCUUGUAUUGGACAAGUUUGUGUUUUUUCCUUUUUUUGUGAUGGAGAUUCUGUAUCGGUUGCUGUGGGAAUAGUGACUAUUUUGG